AUGUUGAAAUAUAAUUUUUGUAUUACUAAUAGAAAUAUCAAGGAGAAAGAAUUAGCUGCUGUUAAGAUAAAUGCAGCAGAUGUUGAUAUAAUUGCAAACGAACUAGAGUUGGACAAAAAGGUGGCUGAAAGAACCUUGCGUUGCUGCCAUUCGUCAUUUGCUUCACUAGUAUGGUGGAAACAAAUAAGGGAAUGUGAUCUAUAUUGUCAAUGA